UUCAAAAUGAACAUAUACCACUGGUGUUACAUUUUCACAAACCAGUUUGAAUCCAUGAUUGUAAUAAUGACUGUCAGCAAAACCAACGAGAUCUGCAGCUUAUAUCUGUGAUCAGGGGGAGGGACAUGGGUCUGCUGUUGGAGCAAAGAGAAGAUGCUACAGCGUCCUCGAGACGGAUUAAAGGCAUAUGGAUGGUGUGGAGCUCCUUGCUGUGGCCAGCAGUGGAACUGCAGGAGGAAGCUGCACGGGCACAAUAAAUAAUACUGAAUCAACAGAUACAGCAUAGGUACAUUAUAAAUAAAUGUUAUCAAGAUAA